GACAGAUUCUCGCCACGCCACCUGGUAGGAGCGACCUGUCAGGUAGGACGCAAUCCAAGUUAUCUUCUUUACAUGUGUGUACAUAGCUGAUACAGAUUACACACGCCCUCAGGUAUCUCUUCCAGGAGAAGGAUCUAGAGGUGCUGCUGGUGAAGGAGGAGGGGUUUGAGGAGGGUCUGGGGAACAUGGUCAUGGAGGACAACCAGACGACAUCUCCUCCUGAACCCACAGAGGAACCAGCUGAGCAGCACAGGACCACACACAGUCUCACUGAGUCAGUAGACAUGGAGGAUGGGAAGCCUGAUCUGCUGCUGGUCAAAGAGGAGAAGAGGAUGGACCAGAGAGCAUUGACCUGCUGAGUGGACUAAAGAUGGGGGAGCAAGGUAAUUGACUCAAAUUCCAUUGGGCCCGUGGGACGACAUCACUGAGCAAGCCAGGAACAAAGGCAACAUAGUGAAGUUUGCAGUCCAUGAAGACCUGCUGAUAUCCAGUGUUACUGGCGGGAGAGACGACCUCUGAGGCGGAUGGUCACAAAUCUUGAACCAGGACAAUGCAUCAGGAGCCAGUCCUGAGUCAGAACCCAACCGUGAGGGACAGAGACUCCACCACAACCAUUACACACACAGUACCUUCAGAAAGUAUUCACACCCCUUGACUUUUUCCACAUUUUGUUGUGUUACAGUCUGAAUUUAAAAUGGAUUAAAUGUAGAUGAGUUGUGUCACUGGCCUACACACAACCCCAUAACUGUGUGCAAUAAUAUAGUGUUUAACACGAUUUCUGAACGACUACCUCACCUCUACCCUACACAUACAAUUAUCUGUAUUACAAUGAGUACCACUCUCCAUAUUUUCAAGCAUAGUGGUGGUUGCAUGAUAUGUGUAUGGGGAGUUUUUCAGGAUAAAAGAGAAACGGAAUGGAGUUAAGCACAGGCACAAUGUGUAUUAUUGUUAUGAAUCUCACAUGGCUGUAGCAAACUUUGCCACCCAAUAAUUGACUUUGGCUGUAUUUAUACGGAUGUAUGUCACCGUGUCACUGUGUUUAGUCUACAUUCCUUGACCUCAAGCUGUUUGCAGUAAAUGGCCUAUAAGUUACCUUCAGGUGAUGACUGAGGUGAAAUAUUGAACCUGUAGUUGAUAUUCCAGACUUUCUGGUCUUCAAACUGAGUCAGUGUACAACAUGUUGACUUCUGGGUCAUGCCAUUUGAUUUCAAUCACUUUUUGCCCACACUCCUUUUGAUUCGAACUAAACUUUCAAUACAUAUUUGCCCAUGGUAGAAGGGGUCAGAAAGUAACAUUUUGGACCUGCCAGAACAUUCAGGAGAGGGAGGUGCUCAAAGUUGUCCCAUUUGGCAUACCUCAUCAUACCAUGAAAUCAAUGUCUUCCUCACUGGGAAAGAUAAGCUUGCAUACAGGAUUGUCAAACUAUUUGAUAAUUUUCUGAAAUUAAAGUUUAAUUUAAAUUUUUUUAAACUUUAAUGUCAAUUAUCUAAAAACAAAUUAAACAUUUUUUUUCUUCUUUUUUUACAUAUGUUGCAGCUUUUGACCAUAUUUGACAUAAUCUGAGAUGUUUGUGUUUAUGCCCGUCAUCGGUUGAGAGACAGCACGCUCUUGAAAACAUGGUGGAUGUCAUGUUUUGGCUGAUUAAUGUACUAAAAUGGGAAUAACAUUGACAUUUCUACUUUCAAAUGGUACCACAAAAAUGGUUGGAGGGCCACAUAUCAGAGAAUGUUGACUUGAAUGAGAGAUCAGUUAAAUUACUGUCAAUCUUCCAUAUGAAACCUAUUGAUAUCAUAGGAAUAUAGAUAAUAGAACAGACAUUCCCAUUUAAGUUGAUAUUCAGUGGGUGGACCGGCAGCCAUUUUUGUAAGUAGGAAUUGGAAGUUAAAAUAGCAAUUUCAGUAUCAAUGGUGUACCAGCUAAAUUGCAGUGGUCUGAAGGGAUAGGCCCAUUCUAUGAAUUAUAUUUAUAUGAUUGAAAUAACGCCCACCCUGUAUUCAAGACUAUGUAUGCUGUGUCUCAACUGAUGGCGGACACAACACAUACACCUCAGAGUAUGUAAAUUAGGGUCUAAACUACAACAUAUGCGAAAAUUAAACAAAUCUGAGUUUGUGUUGUUAGAUACAGUACUUUAGAUUUUUUAUUUAAAAAAACAUUUACUUCAAGAAAUUCUAAAUAGUUAGAAAACCCUGUUUUUAAGCUUUUAAAUUGUAUCAAACUCAACAAUAUUUUCCAGUGAUGAAGAUAUGGAUGUCUCAUGGUAUGGUGGGGUAUGCAAAAAGGGGCAGCUCUAUCUCGUGAAUGUUUUGGCAUUCAGGUCCAAGAAUGUCACUUUCUGACCACUACUACCAUGGGCAAACAUGUAUGGAAAGUUUCAUUCAAAUCAAACGAGGGUAAUUAACCACAAACCCCUCAUUAACUUGUCAUUUGAAACAAUGUGGCCAAUCAGCUUAAAUCCAAUAGUUUUUUUCAUAUUGAACAUAGAUAUUAAGCUGUACACAACCAGCGCUAUAUGUAUGUGCAAUAUGAAAAAACGAUUGGAACGAGCUGAUUGGCUUUUAAAGUGUGGCCACAAAAUGAGCAGAAACGCUCCUCUGGGUGUAAACUCUGUGGAUUUGGAAACAAGUGCUCCUGAGUAGAAUGGAACCCCCCUUUUACUGCGACACAAUGUACAGGCUAUUCUGCAAUAAAUUAUAGGAGUACACACACAACAACAACAAAAACAUUGUUGAGCAUUUAGACUUGAAAAAACAAA